GGCAAUAGGAUUAAGAAUAAGCAAGAGAGCUUAACGUCUUUCAGAGCAUCAACCUUCAUAGGCAAAAAAGGCGGCCAGUAAAAAAAAAUAGUAAAGCGACGAAAGAACUAGUCACAUAUCUCUCAAGUACUACAUUCACAUUCAACUGCUGAUGCCUCCGCAUUACAGGCGUCAUAACCAGGACCGUUGCAGAGCUCGCAAGAACACGUUUCACUGUCUUAUAUCGCCACGAAGGUCCCCAUGGCGCCGAUACUUUCCGUCAGCGUUCCAGACUGCACCAGAGGAGAGGCCCAACGCCUCUCCCAGCGGCAUUCAGCAAUACGGCGGAGGUUGACGACGACAUCAACUCAAAUGCGGCCCUCAGCCAUCGCUGUCUGGACCUCCGAGGGACCGUCUCGAAG
rnacentral:lncRNA from 1 species